rnacentral:rRNA from 1 species
AUUGAACGCUGGCGGCAGGCUUAACACAUGCAAGUCGAGCGAGCGGCGGACGGGUGAGUAAUGUCUGGGAAAAUGCCUUAUGGAGGGGGAUAACUACUGGAAACGGUAGCUAAUAACGCCUACCAUCAGAUGUUCCCAGAUGGGAUUAGCUAGUAGGUGGGGUAAUGGCUCACCUAGGCGACGCUCCCUAGCUGGUCUGAGAGGAUGCCCAGCCACACUGGAACUGAGACACGGUCCAGACUCCUACGGGAGGCAGCAGUGGGGAAUAUUGCACAAUGGGCGCAAGCCUGAUGCAGCCAUGCCGCGUGUGUGAAGAAGGCCUUCGGGUUGUAAAGCACUUUCAGCGAGGAGGCGUUACUCGCAGAAGAAGCACCGGCUAACUCCGUUCCAGCAGCCGCGGUAAUUC